CCUGACUGCUAUCGGAUUGAUACUAAGCCAUGCGAGUCUUUGUAGUAAUACAAGGCAGACGGCUCAGUAACACGUAGUCAAUCUAACCUAUGGACGGGGAUAACCUCGGGAAACUGAGAAUAAUACCCGAUAGAUCAUUAUGCCUGGAAUGGUUUAUGGUCGAAAUGAUUUAUCGCCGUAGGAUGGGACUGCGUUCUAUCAGCUUGUUGGUGAGGUAAUGGCCCACCAAGGCUAUAACAGAUACGGGCUCUGAGAGGAGAAGCCCGGAGAUGGGUACUGAGACACGGACCCAGGCCCUAUGGGGCGCAGCAGGCGAGAAAACUUUGCAAUGUGCGAAAGCACGACAAGGUUAAUCCGAGUGUUUUCUGCUAAAGAAAUCUUUUGUCAGUCCUAAAAACACUGAUGAAUAAGGGGUGGGCAAGUUCUGGUGUCAGCCGCCGCGGUAAAACCAGCACCUCAAGUGGUCAGGAGGAUUAUUGGGCCUAAAGCAUCCGUAGCCGGCCGUGUAAGUUUUCGGUUAAAUCUAUAUGCUCAACAUAUAGGCUGCCGGGAAUACUGCACAGCUAGGGAGUGGGAGAGGUAGACGGUACUCGGUAGGAAGGGGUAAAAUCCUUUGAUCUAUUGAUGACCACCUGUGGCGAAGGCGGUCUACUAGAACACGUCCGACGGUGAGGGAUGAAAGCUGGGGGAGCAAACCGGAUUAGAUACCCGGGUAGUCCCAGCUGUAAACAAUGCAAACUCAGUGAUGCACUGGCUUGUGGCCAGUGCAGUGCCGCAGGGAAGCCGUUAAGUUUGCCGCCUGGGAAGUACGUACGCAAGUAUGAAACCUAAAGGAAUUGGCGGGGGAGCACCACAAGGGGUGAAGCCUGCGGUUC
rnacentral:rRNA from 1 species